rnacentral:rRNA from 1 species
UACGUAGGCAGCGAGCGUUGUUCGGAGUUACUGGGCGUAAAGCGUGCGUAGGUGGUUCGUUAAGUCUGAUGUGAAAGCCCUGGGCUCAACCUGGGAAUGGCAUUGGAUACUGGCGAUCUAGAGUGCGGUAGAGGGCAGUGGAAUUCCCGGUGUAGCAGUGAAAUGCGUAGAGAUCGGGAGGAACAUCUGUGGCGAAGGCGACUGCCUGGACCAGCACUGACACUGAGGCACGAAAGCGUGGGGAGCAAACAGGG